rnacentral:rRNA from 1 species
UACAGAGGUGGCAAGCGUUAAUCGGAAUUACUGGGCGUAAAGCGCGCGUAGGCGGCUUGGCAAGUGGGAUGGAUGAAAUCCCUCGGCUUAACCGAGGAACUGCCGUCCAAACUGCUUAGCUUGAGACCGGGAGAGGUGAGUGGAAUUCCCAGUGUAGCGGUGAAAUGCGUAGAUAUUGGGAGGAACACCAGUGGCGAAGGCGGCUCACUGGACCGGUACUGACGCUGAGGCGCGAAAGCGUGGGGAGCAAACGGG